GAUGAACGCUGGCGGCGUGCCUAAUACAUGCAAGUCGAGCGAACGGACGAGAAGCUUGCUUCUCUGAUGUUAGCGGCGGACGGGUGAGUAACACGUGGAUAACCUACCUAUAAGACUGGGAUAACUUCGGGAAACCGGAGCUAAUACCGGAUGAUAUUUUGAACCGCAUGGUUCAAAAGUGAAAGACGGUCUUGCUGUCACUUAUAGAUGGAUCCGCGCUGCAUUAGCUAGUUGGUAAGGUAACGGCUUACCAAGGCAACGAUGCAUAGCCGACCUGAGAGGGUGAUCGGCCACACUGGAACUGAGACACGGUCCAGACGCCUACGGGAGGCAGCAGUAGGGAAUCUUCCGCAAUGGGCGAAAGCCUGACGGAGCAACGCCGCGUGAGUGAUGAAGGUCUUCGGAUCGUAAAACUCUGUUAUUAGGGAAGAACAGAUGUGUAAGUAACUGUGCACAUCGUGACGGUACCUAAUCAGAAAGCCACGGCUAACUACGUG
rnacentral:rRNA from 1 species